rnacentral:rRNA from 1 species
GGAUUAGUGGCGAACGGGUGAGUAACACGUGGGCAAUCUGCCCUUCACUCUGGGACAAGCCCUGGAAACGGGGUCUAAUACCGGAUACGACGCGCUCGGGCAUCCGAUGUGCGUGGAAAGCUCCGGCGGUGAAGGAUGAGCCCGCGGCCUAUCAGCUUGUUGGUGAGGUAACGGCUCACCAAGGCGACGACGGGUAGCCGGCCUGAGAGGGCGACCGGCCACACUGGGACUGAGACACGGCCCAGACUCCUACGGGAGGCAGCAGUGGGGAAUAUUGCACAAUGGGCGAAAGCCUGAUGCAGCGACGCCGCGUGAGGGAUGACGGCCUUCGGGUUGUAAACCUCUUUCAGCAGGGAAGAAGCGAAAGUGACGGUACCUGCAGAAGAAGCGCCGGCUAACUACGUGCCAGCAGCCGCGGUAAUACGUAGGGCGCGAGCGUUGUCCGGAAUUAUUGGGCGUAAAGAGCUCGUAGGCGGUCUGUCGCGUCGGAUGUGAAAGCCCGGGGCUUAACCCCGGGUCUGCAUUCGAUACGGGCAGACUAGAGUGUGGUAGGGGAGAUCGGAAUUCCUGGUGUAGCGGUGAAAUGCGCAGAUAUCAGGAGGAACACCGGUGGCGAAGGCGGAUCUCUGGGCCAUUACUGACGCUGAGGAGCGAAAGCGUGGGGAGCGAACAGGAUUAGAUACCCUGGUAGUCCACGCCGUAAACGGUGGGAACUAGGUGUUGGCGACAUUCCA